UACGUAGGCAGCAAGCGUUGUUCGGAGUUACUGGGCGUAAAGAGUGCGUAGGCGGUCCUGUAAGUUUGGUGUGAAAUCUCCCGGCUCAACUGGGAGGGUGCGCCGAAGACUGCAGGGCUUGAGUAUGGGAGAGGUAAGCGGAAUUCCUGGUGUAGCGGUGAAAUGCGUAGAUAUCAAGCAGAACACCUGCGGCGAAGGCGGCCUUCUGGACGAUGACUGACGCUGAGACGCGAAAGCGUGGGGAGCAAACAGG
rnacentral:rRNA from 1 species